rnacentral:rRNA from 1 species
UACGAAGGGGGGCUAGCGUUGCUCGGAAUUACUGGGCGUAAAGCGUGCGCAGGCGGUUGUGCAAGACAGAUGUGAAAUCCCCGGGCUCAACCUGGGAAUUGCAUUUGUGACUGCACGGCUAGAGUGUGUCAGAGGGGGGUAGAAUUCCACGUGUAGCAGUGAAAUGCGUAGAGAUGUGGAGGAAUACCGAUGGCGAAGGCAGCCCCCUGGGAUAACACUGACGCUCAUGCACGAAAGCGUGGGGAGCAAACAGG